UGUUGAACAGCAGGUUAAAGAGGAAACAGACCACAGAGCCAUGCAUAUGCCAAUCUAGUGUUAUGACAGAAAGGGAAAACUGAACCAGAAGGUUGGGCUUUUUGUUGAUUUGUUUAUUUAAUUUUUAAAUUUUUUUUUGUCUUUCAUUUUUAUCUUGAAGUGGAGUAAGAAAGGCUCUACUAAGAUUAUAUUGAACUCACAAUUUUCAAAGUCUUAUAUUUUAGGGAAAGUCUAAGAAAACCAUCUGCCAGCUAUGUCUUUCGACUAACAACCAUAAUUUAUUGGUGUAGCCUUGAGUCUGAUCGUUAGCCCACAGCACUUUCAUGGGGGUGGAGUAGGGCUGGGUGACGUUGGACCAGAGGAGAGUCAUGUCUGUCAGAUGGCCCUGGUAUAAGGGAACAAGGGCUGGUUUAAACAACUCUGGAGUAGUGUUGGAAUAGCAUGGAUUUCAGCCUAGAAACGGAUUUCUUUGUAGAUGCUGUCAUGAGGAAGGAGAUUAUGGAAAACAAUGAUUAUAGUCAACUGGAAUGAGCAAGAGGAGUCCUGUGUCCACAACGACUGCUCAGAAGGACCAGAAAGUACCAUGUAUGCUGCCAAGCAGGAAAGAAAUCAACAGUGUGAUUCAGCUGUGACACCUUUGGACUAUGACAAUGACCAGCAUGGCGAGAUACCUAUAAAGAUUUAAAACAUGACGAAGAGUUUGGAGGACAGUGAUAAUCUAUGGACCCAUACAGAUCUGUCAAGAGGAAGCAGUUGCUCCUGUGCUGACAAUGAGGACAUGGACUGUAUCCUCCCAUCUCUGAGCAGUGUCAAUGGCAACUUGACAGUUAUCGAAAGGCUUCAGCCUUGUACUUGGCUGUGUUUAUGUUCAGCCAUCUUAAAACCUGGGCAUUUAUAGCACAUUUCAAUAGCAGCAGCUCUAAGAAUGCGAUAGUAACUGUUUAACCUGGCAGAGCCUUGGGUACGCCUGGUGUGAUAUUGCAAAUGGCACCUUCAACGUCAUAUAGAGCUAAUUAAAGACUAGGUGAUACUUGGGAUUCUUACAGGAACAAACAUGAGAAUCCUAGAGUUUAUAAUUUCAGAAUAAUCAGUAGGGUGUAUAAUUCACCGUCAAUUUAUAGUACCCUGUGCCCUAGUUUUCUUUCUCCUUUCCUAGUUUUAGGAAAGAAUUUUCAAAGAAAAUCUUUUGCUUAUUGCUGACACCAUAAAUUCAUGUAUGCCUAUAAACAUAAAAAAAUGUACUUCAAGAAGAGGUUGGGAUUAUCUUAAAAAUGGGUGCUAUGUGAAGAAACACAAGAUACAUGAGGUUAAAGGUACAGUGUGAGAGAAAACCAGACUGGUGGUAAAGGCAGACACACUAGGAGAUAUAUGUAAAGAAUAUAUGAGAGACAAAGUGUAUCAACCUGUGGGAGGAAGAAAAGGAAGCUUUCACAGAGGAAGUGGCAUUUGUUACAGAGCUAGCUUGAAAGAUACAUAUGUGCUUGCCAGACUGACAGAAUUCUCAGUAUGUUAAAACAUGCGAGUCCCGAUAUUGAACCCUGCUGGGAAAGUAUAAGAAAGGCUGUGUGACUUGGAGGGUAGAAGCAGCUUAAGAGUUUUAAAUUCCACUUGUUUUCUCCAGUUGUGUUUGAUGGUUAUAAGACAGAUAAUACAAUCAGAAAACCCACUUUGAAAUAGGGAACGUAUUAGACAGUCUUUCUUUUCGGAGAAGACAUUAGUGAAAUAUUAUUUAUCAAGCAUACAAGAGGAGGGCUGAGGUGACAAGUUAGUGGGUAAAUGCUUGCCUUGCAAGUAUGAGGUCCUGAUUUUGAUUUCUCAGAUCUCAGGCUAAAGCAGACAGACAGACAGACAAACAAAAUUAGCAAAACCAGAAAACAGCUAAGUUCGGUGGCAUAUACUUGAAAUACCAGCACUGGGCAAGUGCAGACACAAGGAACUCUAGGGCUUGCUGGUCUACCUUACUUGGCAAGUCCCAAGCCAGUGGACAAUUUAUAAGUCCUCCUAAGUGUUCAAAUGAAGGGGAGAGUGGCACACAUGUUACUUUAAAUCAAAAGUAUAAAUGGUAGAGUGAAGAAGAUAAACUAAAAGCUGAGAUAAGCUGAAAGCUAGGUUCUUGUAAGAAUCAUGUCUACUGUUUGAGCUCACACACACACAAAAUGUUCCAGGAAGCAAGACAGGGGCAAAGGGGAAAUAAAACAGCCUCAUCGCUGACACGAAUGAUACAGUGGUCUGCAUUUGAAGGCCAGACGAAUCCAGUAUUGUCUUAAGGUAAUUUUUUGGGUUGUUGUUGAAAAUAGAUUUUUUUCAUAUUAUAUAUUCUGUUCAUGAUUUUUACCUCCGCUGACUGAUUCUCCCAGCCUUCCCACCCAUCCUAAUUAACACCCUUACUAAAUAGAAAACAAGAAGGCAACUAAAAAGUAAUACAAAACAAAACCCACAGAUAAACCAGAAUAGUAUAAAAUAAGCAAACAAAAAUAAGAGACAAAGAUAAAGCUAAAGAAAUACAUACAGCUGUGAAGACAUGGGUUUAUGCAUGUGUGUGGGUCUGCACAUGUCACAGUAUGUGGAGGUCAGCAAGUCGCCCCAUGUGCCAUAUACUAACAGCUGUGAGGAUAUGAGGACAAUAUAGUUGUAUGGAAAUUUCCAGUGGAGUAUAGCUCUUUUACUGUUUUGGAGUUGAAAGCCCCUUCAGCUCUUUCAAUCCUUUCUCUAAUUCCUCCAACAGGGGUCCUGUUCUCAGUUCAGUGGUUUGCUGUUAACAUUCACCUCUGUGUUUGACAUGCUCUGGCUGUAUCUCUCAGGAGACAUCUAUAUUUAGAUUAGAUUUGUUGGAAACUUCUCUUUCUGGAGAGGUCUGUAUAGGUAUUGUUUAGUGUAGAAUAUCAGUUGUGCAAUACAAGGUCAACUUCAUAUUGACAGUGCACUUGGAUGCUUAUAUAACUCAGGGGUGGGAUAAUGGCAACAGUAUAUACAUAGGACAUACUGUUUAAGAUGCAUUUAUUUUAAGUUGUGCAUGUUUGUGUAAAGAAUGUCAAUGUCUGCAGAAGCCAGAAGAUGAUGUUACUUUCUGUUUUGCAUGUCUGGAGUUAAGGGUUGGUUGAGUCGUUCACUGUAGGGUGCUGGGAACCAAACUGGGUCUUCUGCAAGAACAGUAUGUACUCUUAACUGCUGAGCCAUCCUUUGAGCUCCUGUAGUUGAUAAUAUUUAGACUUCUUGCUCUAAGCAUUCAUUUGACAACCAUACAAUCAUUUAGGCUAGGUAUGAUAAAAGUCAUUUUUUUUCUUUUCUUUCUUUCUUUUCUUUCUUUCUUUCUUUCUUUCUUCU
ensembl:lncRNA